UACAGAGGGUGCAAGCGUUAAUCGGAAUUACUGGGCGUAAAGCGCGCGUAGGUGGUUUGUUAAGUUGGAUGUGAAAGCCCCGGGCUCAACCUGGGAACUGCAUCCAAAACUGGCAAGCUAGAGUACGGUAGAGGGUGGAAUUUCCUGUGUAGCGGUGAAAUGCGUAGAUAUAGGAAGGAACACCAGUGGCGAAGGCGACCACCUGGACUGAUACUGACACUGAGGUGCGAAAGCGUGGGGAGCAAACAGGAUUAGAUACCCCCGUAGUCC
rnacentral:rRNA from 1 species